rnacentral:rRNA from 1 species
AUUGAACGCUGGCGGCAGGCCUAACACAUGCAAGUCGAGAGAGCGGCGGACGGGUGAGUAAUGUCUGGGAAACUGCCUGAUGGAGGGGGAUAACUACUGGAAACGGUAGCUAAUACCGCAUACCAUCAGAUGUGCCCAGAUGUGAUUAGCUAGUAGGUGGGGUAAAGGCUCACCUAGGCGACGAUCCCUAGCUGGUCUGAGAGGAUGACCAGCCACUCUGGACCGUAGAUACUGUCCAGUCUCCUCCUGUAGGCAGCAUUGGGGAAUAUUGCACAAUGGGCGCAAGCCUGCUGCAGCCAUGCCACGUGUGUGAAGACGGCCUUCGGGUUGUAAAGCACUUUCAGCGGGGAGGCGUUACCCGCAGAAGAAUCACCGGCUAACUCCGUGCCAGCAGCCGCGGUAAUUC